UUUGAUGGUGGCUUCUGAUGUGCAAAAUUGGAGACGCACCCUAAAAGGUGCCGGGGCUUCUCCCGUUUUAAGAGAGACGGGAGAAGG
rnacentral:tRNA from 1 species